GAAGGUGUGUCGUGAGGCAUGCUGGAGGUAUCAGAAGUGCGAAUGCUGACAUAAGUAACGAUAAAGCGGGUGAAAAGCCCGCUCGCCGGAAGACCAAGGGUUCCUGUCCAACGUUAAUCGGGGCAGGGUGAGUCGACCCCUAAGGCGAGGCCGAAAGGCGUAGUCGAUGGGAAACGGGUUAAUAUUCCCGUACUUGGUGUUACUGCGAAGGGGGGACGGAGAAGGCUAUGUUGGCCGGGCGACGGUUGUCCCGGUUUAAGCGUGUAGGUGUGUGUUCUAGGUAAAUCCGGUUCACUUUAACACUGAGGCGUGACGACGAGGCACUACGGUGCUGAAGCAACAAAUGCCCUGCUUCCAGGAAAAGCCUCUAAGCAUCAGGUAACAUCAAAUCGUACCCCAAACCGACACAGGUGGUCAGGUAGAGAAUACCAAGGCGCUUGAGAGAACUCGGGUGAAGGAACUAGGCAAAAUGGUGCCGUAACUUCGGGAGAAGGCACGCUGACACGUAGGUGAAGUGAUUUACUCAUGGAGCUGAAGUCAGUCGAAGAUACCAGCUGGCUGCAACUGUUUAUUAAAAACACAGCACUGUGCAAACACGAAAGUGGACGUAUACGGUGUGACGCCUGCCCGGUGCCGGAAGGUUAAUUGAUGGGGUCAGCGCAAGCGAAGCUCCUGAUCGAAGCCCCGGUAAACGGCGGCCGUAACUAUAACGGUCCUAAGGUAGCGAAAUUCCUUGUCGGGUAAGUUCCGACCUGCACGAAUGGCGUAAUGAUGGCCAGGCUGUCUCCACCCGAGACUCAGUGAAAUUGAACUCGCUGUGAAGAUGCAGUGUACCCGCGGCAAGACGGAAAGACCCCGUGAACCUUUACUAUAGCUUGACACUGAACAUUGAGCCUUGAUGUGUAGGAUAGGUGGGAGGCUUUGAAGUGUGGACGCCAGUCUGCAUGGAGCCGACCUUGAAAUACCACCCUUUAAUGUUUGAUGUUCUAACGUGGACCCGUUACCCGGGUUGCGGACAGUGUCUGGUGGGUAGUUUGACUGGGGCGGUCUCCUCCUAAAGAGUAACGGAGGAGCACGAAGGUUGGCUAAUCCUGGUCGGACAUCAGGAGGUUAGUGCAAUGGCAUAAGCCAGCUUGACUGCGAGCGUGACGGCGCGAGCAGGUGCGAAAGCAGGUCAUAGUGAUCCGGUGGUUCUGAAUGGAAGGGCCAUCGCUCAACGGAUAAAAGGUACUCCGGGGAUAACAGGCUGAUACCGCCCAAGAGUUCAUAUCGACGGCGGUGUUUGGCACCUCGAUGUCGGCUCAUCACAUCCUGGGGCUGAAGUAGGUCCCAAGGGUAUGGCUGUUCGCCAUUUAAAGUGGUACGCGAGCUGGGUUUAGAACGUCGUGAGACAGUUCGGUCCCUAUCUGCCGUGGGCGCUGGAGAACUGAGGGGGGCUGCUCCUAGUACGAGAGGACCGGAGUGGACGCAUCACUGGUGUUCGGGUUGUCAUGCCAAUGGCACUGCCCGGUAGCUAAAUGCGGAAGAGAUAAGUGCUGAAAGCAUCUAAGCACGAAACUUGCCCCGAGAUGAGUUCUCCCUGAGACUUAGAGUCUCCUGAAGGAACGUUGAAGACGACGACGUUGAUAGGCCGGGUGUGUAAGCGCAGCGAUGCGUUGAGCUAACCGGUACUAAUGAACCGUGAGGCUUAACCUUACAACGCCGAAG
rnacentral:rRNA from 1 species